ACCCUCUUCGUCUAGUCGGUUAGGACGCCGCCUUUUCACGGUGGCAACGCAGGUUCAAGUCCUGUAGGGGGUA
rnacentral:tRNA from 1 species